ACGACCUUACUUGAACAGGAUCUGUUCUAUAGGCUCGUACUGCUGCAUCCUUUACCAAUAAGGAGGCAAACACUUGAUCCUGGAUGGGCUUCUGUCUCUACAGGGUGGCCUAGAGGUUGUCUGACAGACU
rnacentral:snoRNA from 1 species